AACAGGUUAAGAAGAAGACAAAAACCGUUGUGGAGAAGUAUUGGGACUGGGAACUUACAAAUGAAACACAACCUAUUUGGCUUCGGACUCCUAAGGAGGUAUCAACUGAGGAGUACAAUGAAUUUUA